rnacentral:tRNA from 1 species
AGCUCAGUGGUCGAGUGUUGGUUUUGGAAGCCACAGGUCGGUGGUUCAAAUCCACC